AGAGGUCAUUUUUUAGACCUAGG
rnacentral:siRNA from 1 species